UACGGAGGGGGCUAGCGUUGUUCGGAAUUACUGGGCGUAAAGCGCGCGUAGGCGGACCUGCAAGUCGGGGGUGAAAGCCCGAGGCUCAACCUCGGAACUGCCUUCGAUACUGCGGGUCUCGAGUCCGGGAGAGGUGAGUGGAAUUCCUAGUGUAGAGGUGAAAUUCGUAGAUAUUAGGAAGAACACCGGUGGCGAAGGCGGCCCACUGGCUCGAUACUGACGCUGAGGUGCGAAAGCGUGGGGAGCAAACAGG
rnacentral:rRNA from 1 species